GCGUCAGUGGGGAGUGGGCGAUGAAAGGGGAGGUGGUGAGGGUGCCAGUGCGCUGGGGAUGGGCCAUGAGGGGGUGCCCAUCUGGUGGCUGGUUUGCACAGGGAAGCAUGGGACAAGGCCUGGAAGGAGAUGUCCCUCGUGUGAACCAGCAGAAAAGCCAGCGCCAGAGAUGCAGGGAGAAGGCCCUGUGCCCGCCUGAGGUCUGUGAUGUCUCCGAUUCAGGUUUCUCUUCUGGCCAAGCCUAACCCGGAACCACGGAUGGAAGGGCGCUCCGAGACACAAGGCCCUGCCUCAGCUACGUUGUCACAAGAUGCAGCCAUCGCGGGCGCAGAGGGACGUCUUUGUCCAUCAGAUGGCGGCCCUGCCCCGCGUGUGGCCCUCAGUGGGGUCCAGUGACUUCACGAGCCUCGAGCUCCCUCCUGGGGCACCGGGCUCUGCGAUGUCUGCUCCCUGACCUCAGCCAGGACCCCCUCGCCCGUCCCGGCUGCACUGCUCCUCCUCGAGCUCCUCAGGCCUCCACGGGGCACCCUGGCCCUUGGACUUCAGUGCCCUCGGCCUGGGGUCCCCGUUCCAGGCCUCGGCCUCCACGGCCCUGCCUCCCUCUGGAACAUUUCCCUCCUUUUCUGGUGCGUCUCCCUCACGAGGACGUCCCCUCCUCGAGGCCCCUCAGCAGGCAUCCUGGCUCGGAGCAGGCAUUCUGCCCGCGGUAACCCUCUGCCUGCAGGAGCCUCCGAGUUGGAAGAGACGGGCCUUCGGGAGGAUGCUGGCGGGAGGUGCGCCCGUCCUGCAACAGGAGGACGAGGCCGACCCAGACGUAAAAUUAAAACCCUCCCUGAGGACGCCGAAGGCCUCCUGGAGCCAUCACCCAUGCCAGCCCCCUCCCCAGAAGGAACUGCCAUCAUCCAGGUCCCCAUGUGCAUGCAUCUCCUGCCCCCCAACUCCUUCCCCCCCAUCCGCCCCC
rnacentral:lncRNA from 1 species